rnacentral:misc_RNA from 1 species
CAGAGUUGCAAAACUCCCAACCCUUUGUGAACGUACUGAAAAAUUGCUUCGGCGGGAGGCUCCUCAGGGAGCGGACCGCCGGAGGAAUCCAAACUCUUGUUUUUUUGGCAGUCUCUGAGUAGCUUAUAAAUAAGUUA